CGCACGAGAACUCUUUAGCUUGCUAAAGAUAGUAAAGUGGCGCACGGGUGAGUAACGCGUGGGUAAUCUUCCUUCAAAUUGGGGAUAACUCGCCGAAAGGCGGGCUAAUACCGAAUAACAUCUUUGAAACUUCGGUUUUGAAGAUCAAAAGUGGCCUCUAUUUAUAUGCUACUGUUUGAAGAUGAGCCCGCGUACCAUUAGCUUGUUGGUAGGGUAAUGGCCUACCAAGGCUGCGAUGGUUAGCUGGUCUGAGAGGAUGAUCAGCCACACUGGAACUGACACACGGUCCAGACUCCUACGGGAGGCAGCAGUGAGGAAUUUUGCGCAAUGGGGGAAACCCUGACGCAGCAACGCCGCGUGAGUGAUGAAGGCCUUCGGGUCGUAAAGCUCUGUCAAGUGGGAAGAACCUGAUGAAUGAUAAUACCAUUGAUCACUGACGGUACCACUGAAGGAAGCACCGGCUAACUCCGUGCCAGCAGCCGCGGUAAUACGGAGGGUGCAAGCGUUAUUCGGAAUCAUUGGGCGUAAAGGGCGCGUAGGCGGUUUUUUAAGUCAGAUGUGAAAGCCCGGGGCUUANCCCCGGAAGUGCAUUUGAAACUGAAAGACUUGAGUAUGGGAGAGGGAAGUGGNAUUCCUGGGGGUAGAGGUGAAAUUCGUAGAUAUCAGGAGGAACACCGGGUGGCGAAGGCGACUUCCUGGGACCAAUACUGACGCUGAGGCGCCAAGGCGUGGCNANCNACANGAUAGAUACCNGGUAGNCACGCAGUAACNGGGACACUAGGNGUANGGGUNUGNCCCUGCUGNGCGAAGUNACGCAUNAGUGNUCC
rnacentral:rRNA from 1 species